rnacentral:rRNA from 1 species
AUGAACGCUAGCUACAGGCUUAACACAUGCAAGUCGAGGGGCAGCAUGGUCUUAGCUUGCUAAGGCCGAUGGCGACCGGCGCACGGGUGAGUAACACGUAUCCAACCUGCCGUCUACUCUUGGACAGCCUUCUGAAAGGAAGAUUAAUACAAGAUGGCAUCAUGAGUCCGCAUGUUCACAUGAUUAAAGGUAUUCCGGUAGACGAUGGGGAUGCGUUCCAUUAGAUAGUAGGCGGGGUAACGGCCCACCUAGUCUUCGAUGGAUAGGGGUUCUGAGAGGAAGGUCCCCCACAUUGGAACUGAGACACGGUCCAAACUCCUACGGGAGGCAGCAGUGAGGAAUAUUGGUCAAUGGGCGAGAGCCUGAACCAGCCAAGUAGCGUGAAGGAUGACUGCCCUAUGGGUUGUAAACUUCUUUUAUAAAGGAAUAAAGUCGGGUAUGGAUACCCGUUUGCAUGUACUUUAUGAAUAAGGAUCGGCUAACUCCGUGCCAGCAGCCGCGGUAAUACGGAGGAUCCGAGCGUUAUCCGGAUUUAUUGGGUUUAAAGGGAGCGUAGAUGGAUGUUUAAGUCAGUUGUGAAAGUUUGCGGCUCAACCGUAAAAUUGCAGUUGAUACUGGAUAUCUUGAGUGCAGUUGAGGCAGGCGGAAUUCGUGGUGUAGCGGUGAAAUGCUUAGAUAUCACGAGGAACUCCGAUUGCGAAGGCAGCCUGCUAAGCUGCAACUGACAUUGAGGCUCGAAAGUGUGGGUAUCAAACAGGAUUAGAUACCCUGGUAGUCCACACGGUAAACGAUGAAUACUCGCUGUUUGCGAUAUACAGUAAGCGGCCAAGCGAAAGCGUUAAGUAUUCCACCUGGGGAGUACGCCGGCAACGGUGAAACUCAAAGGAAUUGACGGGGGCCCGCACAAGCGGAGGAACAUGUGGUUUAAUUCGAUGAUACGCGAGGAACCUUACCCGGGCUUAAAUUGCAGAUGAAUUACGGUGAAAGCCGUAAGCCGCAAGGCAUCUGUGAAGGUGCUGCAUGGUUGUCGUCAGCUCGUGUCGUGAGAUGUUGGGUUAAGUCCCGCAACGAGCGCAACCCUUACGGUUAAUUACUACGAAAGAGUACCUUAACCGGACUGCCGUUGACAAAACGGAGGAAGGUGGGGAUGACGUCAAAUCAGCACGGCCCUUACGUCCGGGGCUACACACGUGUUACAAUGGGGGGUACAGAGGGCCGCUACCACGCGAGUGGAUGCCAAUCCCCAAAACCUCUCUCAGUUCGGACUGGAGUCUGCAACCCGACUCCACGAAGCUGGAUUCGCUAGUAAUCGCGCAUCAGCCACGGCGCGGUGAAUACGUUCCCGGGCCUUGUACACACCGCCCGUCAAGCCAUGGGAGCCGGGGGUACCUGAAGUGCGUAACCGCGAGGAGCGCCCUAGGGUAAAACUGGUGACUGGGGCU